rnacentral:rRNA from 1 species
AUGGCGAGCAAGUUACAACAUAUGAGUGUGAUACCAAGGGAAUUUACCCUCCAAUAUCUGGAACAGAUUACAGAUAACUUCUCCGAGGGCCACAUAAUUGGUCGUGGUGAGCAUGGAGUAGUUUACAAGGGAGUGCUGGAUAAUGGGGAAGAGAUUGCUCUGAAGAAGUUAUAUCAUAUGCCAGAGCUUGAUGACACACAAUUCAGGAAUGAGUUAAAUAACCUUGUGAGAGCCCGGCAUCAAAAUAUUAUCCGGUUGAUUGGUUACUGUUGUAAUAUUGGGCAUAAACGUGUUAAACACGAUGAUGAAUAUACCUCUGCAGUAGUGGAAGAGAGAUUUCUCUGCUUCGAAUACUUGCAGGGCGGAAGCUUGGACAAGUAUAUUUCUGAUGAAUCAUGUGCACUUGAUUGGCUCACAUGUUUCAAAAUCAUUAAGGGGGUAUGUGAAGGUUUGAAUUACCUUCAUAAUGGAACCAAUGAUCAUAUAUUCCAUCUGGAUCUAAAACCUAGCAAUAUAUUGCUAGACAAGAAUAUGAUGCCCAAAAUAGGAGAUUUUGGUUACUCGCGACUCUUCCCUUCAGCACAGACAUAUGUCACAACUGAAGCUACAGAACAGACACGGGGAUACAAGCCACCAGAAUACAUCAAUAAAGGAGAAACUACAUCAAAAUUUGACAUAUUCAGUUUGGGCGUUAUAAUAAUAGAAAUAAUAGCAAGGUUUAUUGGCUAUUCUCGCCGCUCAGACAUGCCUUUUCAAGAUCUUUUUGAUUUCGUACAUCUAAACUGGAAGAACAAGUUGGUGGCAAUGACGUCGUGUGAUACAUCACGACAAGUUAGGGUAUGCUUAGAAAUGGCGUUAAGAUGUUCGGAGGACGACCAAAUGAAAAGACCUCCUAUAGCCGAGAUUGUCAAGGAGCUGAAUAAAUUAAACACUGCCGAAAGUUCUUUUACAGGCGAGGCGGAGAUGGAGGACCGGGGCUCUGAAUGGCUUCAUGCAGCGAUGGAGCUUCCUGUUUCCGCUUCGCUCGGCCCUAUAGGAUCCCUGUUCCGGAAACUCCAUUCAUUUAAGGCUACCAAGGAAAUUCUGCCAGCGGGGGUUAAUGAAGGUGAGAUCCACAGUCUCAAAAAAGAGCUCAAGGAAUUAUGCAUCUCGCUCAUGGGUCUGUCAGAGGCCAAUGACACCAGCUUAACGGCCAAGUACUGGAUGAAGGAGGUGCGUGAAGUCUGUUAUGAUACAGAGAAUUACUUUGACAAGCUUAUAAUGCAGCCCAGUAAUGGCAGUAAUGUGCGUUGGAUUCACAAACUGCUGAAAAGACGGCCCCAGAUUGCAAUUGAUUUCUCAACAUUAGUGGCUCGUGUGGCCGAUGCCCGUGAAAGACGUGGACGACUCGUCAAAUGGAACACAAAUAAUGAAAACAUCGAACAAGAAAGUGGACAAGCUUGUACCACUCCAGCCGUUGCUAGUUCCUCCACAUUGUCUCUCCAAACGCCGGUACUGGUUGCCUGUGUCAGGAGGCCCGAGCUGACCCUCAAACUGUCGGUGCCAGCUGCUGCACACAUGGACAAUCUCGUCAACCUCCUGGCAUUCGACGACCAAAAACAGAAACGACUCAAGGUAGUAUCUAUUUUUGGGUUUGCGGGUGUUGGAAAGACAACAGUUACCAGGACCUUAUAUCGUAAGUUUGGAGGAAAAUUUGACUGUCGGGCUUUUCUACGGAUGUCUCGGCAGCCGGAUAUAAGGAGGCUUCUCACCAGCAUGCUCUCCCAAAUCAAGGCACCUCCGGCCCACGCCUAUGCUGAUGUGCAAGUGCUCGUUGCCAAUAUCAGGACACAUCUAGAACACAAAAGGUACUUCCUAAUAAUUGAUGAGUUAUGGACUCCAUCUGUAUGGAACACUAUUAGGCGUGCUUUUCCUGAUGGCAACUGUUGCAGCAGAGUCAUAACCACCACACAAAAUGAGGAUGCGGCUUUGGCCUGCUGUAGCUAUCAGUCAAAGUACAUAUUUGAAAUGACAUCAGUUAGUGGUUAUCAAUCAGCAGAAUUAUCAUCCACUGGAGUCUCUGACUCGGGGUGUGCUUCUCGUCAAGAUUUUGAAGAACUUUCUUAUGGGGUUAUCAUGACAUCCGGUGGCUUACCGUUAGCAAGUGUUAACACCGGCAGUAUAACUGAACCAAACCUCGUAAAGGAGCAAUGGGAGCAGAUACAAGAUUCUCUGUCCUCUACUUUGAGUGCAAACCCUACUUGUGAAGUGAUCGAAGAAGUCCUAAACCUUAUUUACAAUAGUCUUCCACGUCACUUGAAGACAUGCUUGCUCUAUCUUAAUAUGUAUCCAGAGGGAUACACGAUCUGGAAGUAUGUUCUUGUAGGCCAGUGGAUUGCAGAAGGUUUCAUUGGGGUCACUCGAAGAAAAAAAGGUUUUGUGGGUGCAGUAAAACAGCAAGACAAAGAGGAAGAUGAAGUAGAAGAACAAGUUAGUGUUGCUCAGGGUUAUUUCAUUGAGCUUGCUCGUAGAGGAAUGAUCCAAGCUGUAGACACCAAUGAUGAAGGUGAAGUAUUAUCAUGUACAGUCCACCACAUGGUAUUGGAUCUUAUUAGGCGCAAAUCCAUGGAGGAUAACUUCGUCACUACUGUGGACAAAUUUCCAUCAGCUCUAGUCCUUCCUGACAUGGUUCGUCGACUGUCCAUCCAGUUUGGAGAUGCAAAAGCUGCAAAGAUACCAGAAAACAUGUUUUUGUCCCAAGUUCUAUCACUUUUAUACUUUGGAUCUUUUGAAUGUGCACCUUCCACUGGGGAUUAUGUGUUUCUUCAAGUUCUGAAUCUUCAUAUCUGGGCAGAUCAAGAAAAGACUUUUGACCUUACUACAAUAUCAAAACUAUGCUGGUUAAAACAUUUUAAGGUCGAAUGUAAUACCACCGUCAACCUUCCAGCCAAGGUUCAGAUGCUUCAAAACUUAGGAACACUGGAAGUGGAUGCUCCGCUAUCUGUUGUUCCAUCGGAUAUUUUUGCUUUGAAGAGUCUGUUGCACCUAUGCCUUCCAAGCCAGGUUACUCUGCCUGAUGGGAUUGUACACAUGACAUCACUUCGCCGCCUAGGGGAUUUUAGCCUCAACACUAACUCAACCGACAAUGUGCUGGGACUAGGCAAGCUUAUUAAUCUAUGGGAUCUUCGGCUGACAUGUUCCACAGUAAAACCUGGGGGUCUGAUUGGGAACAUGAAGCAUUUUGGCUCAAUUCUAGGGGAUUUCGAGCAACUCAAGUCUCUAAUUAUUGACUCUGAAACUCCGAAUGUGGGUAUUUCUUGUGACUGCCUAAGCAGUGUUUCCUGUGGUCCGGUCCUUCUUGAAAGAGUUGAGUUCCCACGGAAUUUCAUCUUUCCAAGCCUUCCCAAGUGGUUCGGAGAUUUGGAGAAACUCUGCAUUUUGAAGGUAACUGUUAGGGAGACAUCGACGGAAGAUAUUAAUAUCCUUAAAGGGUUGAAUGCCCUCACUUCUCUCUCAAUCUAUGUAUCCAUCACACCAAAAGCAAGGAUCGUCUUUGACAAGGAGGGGUUCACAGUUCUCAAGUAUUUCAAGUUCACGUCUGCUGCACUAUGUCUGACCUUUGAUUUAGGAGCAAUGCCAAAGAUCAAAAGGCUUAAGCUAAGGUUCGAUGCUAAUAAAUUUGAGCAAAGUGACAUUCGACAAGCCAGCAUCGACAACUUGUUAGGCCUUAAAGAGGUUUCUGCAAAAAUUGGAAUCCUCGGUACUAUUGAAUCGGGAACCAAAGUUGCCUUAUUGAUGGCCAUCUUCGGAACACAUCCAAGUAGACCAAUCAUCAAUGUGCAAUCGGUGGAUAGGACAUUUGGUGGAAAGAGCAAUGUGCGUCUAAGCACCAUGUUAUUUGAUACCCGGUCUAUUGUGGCACCAGACAUCUCUUCUCCUAUGCAAAUUUUAGGGGAAGUCACAGAAAAUGAGACAAAAACAGAGUCUACACUAGAGGCUACAUUUAGCAAGCUAGAAGGAGAACACAUUAUUACUUUAGAGAUCUCAGAGGAAGUCUCUGAUGAACAUCAUGGAAUUCAAGUAAAGGAUUCCUAG